rnacentral:lncRNA from 1 species
UGUAACGCUCCGUCCUUUAUGAGCACACGCGAACGUUCAAACAGGUUUUGAAUAUAAAUGAAUUUAUUUAGGAAGGAUGUUCACUACUCAGGAAUUAAAUAAUAAUGACAACUGUUAAAGAAAAUAAAAUUAGUUCUUUAUCAUACCAAAUACAAAUUAAGGGGCCAGCUAAAAAACACACAGGAUUUACAUGUAUACUUCCACCGAUAGAUUGCUUAAGGGCGCUGUUGUCGCAGCAUUUCAUGUCAGCAGCUAAUGUCGUAAAUCGGGGGGAGAUCAAUCAAAUUUAUUAUUAUAAUUAAGACUUCACAAGAAACAGGAAGCUCUAUAAAACCACUCAAACUUAGCUAAAGGCCGUGUGUGACUCAGAAACUGAGAGAGCUCCAUCCUCAACUCCUUCAUUAAAAUCCGGGUGUCCAUUCCUACUUAAGUCAACACUGCUUCGUUUUUUACUCUAAGAAACCUAGCUCAUUGAUCAGAGUUCUUCAGUGUCCUUGAUGUGAGUCCGUGAUGAACGUUCUACAUGGACAAUUAUAGAAGUUAGAAACUUCAAGAAUCUCACCCCUCAUUUUCUUAUUACUGUGAGUCUUUUUUCUAACUCGAAAACAAAUGGAGGAUGAUUCUAUAAUCUUAAAGAUAAUGUGCCUCUUUAUUCUCUAUAGUUUGGGAGUGUAAAGCAUAUUAUAUUCUGCUAUUACAUAUAAAUAGUUAUUGCAUCUUGUAUUAAAUCAUUCUAUACAAUAUAUUAAAAAACGAAAGACUUUCAUAAAGAAAAAUAUUAUGGAAAAUACAGCAAGGAACAUAAGGAGAACUGUGUGUGGAGUAUCAUAACUUUUUGAGUUGAAUCCUCUUAAAGUCAACUCGCUUCGUCUCCUACUCUAAAGAAAAU